UACGUAGGGCGCAAGCGUUGUCCGGAAUUAUUGGGCGUAAAGAGCUCGUAGGCGGUUUGUCGCGUCUGCUGUGAAAACCUAAGGCUCAACCUUGGGCUUGCAGUGGGUACGGGCAGACUAGAGUGCGGUAGGGGUGACUGGAAUUCCUGGUGUAGCGGUGGAAUGCGCAGAUAUCAGGAGGAACACCGAUGGCGAAGGCAGGUCACUGGGCCGCAACUGACUCUGAGGAGCGAAAGCAUGGGGAGCGAACAGG
rnacentral:rRNA from 1 species